AACGAACGCUGGCGGCAUGCCUAACACAUGCAAGUCGAACGAGACCUUCGGGUCUAGUGGCGCACGGGUGCGUAACGCGUGGGAACCUGCCCUUAGGUUCGGAAUAACUCCCCGAAAGGGGUGCUAAUACCGGAUAAUGUCUUCGGACCAAAGAUUUAUCGCCUUUGGAUGGGCCCGCGUUGGAUUAGCUAGUUGGUAGGGUAAAAGCCUACCAAGGCGACGAUCCAUAGCUGGUCUGAGAGGAUGAUCAGCCACACUGGGACUGGGACACGGCCCAGACUCCUACGGGAGGCAGCAGUGGGGAAUAUUGGACAAUGGGCGAAAGCCUGAUCCAGCAAGGCCGCGUGAGUGAUGAAGGCCUUAGGGUUGUAAAGCUCUUUUACCCGGGAUGAUAAUGACAGUACCGGGAGAAUAAGCUCCGGCUAACUCCGUG
rnacentral:rRNA from 1 species